AGGGACUGCGAAAUGCGGGCCAUCUGCAGUACAGUGGAGGUCUGGCCGGAAGGGAGAAGGCUGCUGUGUGGGGGAUGGAUCGAGAACCCAGGACCCUGCACUGAACAGGAACUUCCUGGAAAUCUCUUUAGCUGAGCAGUGGACCAUCCUUGGUGUUCUCUUCAGGAUCAGGAACAGUGGUCUUUCUUUCUCUCUAUGAAAUGCCAGUUUCUUCAAGUGCGUUCACCAUAUUGUUGUUUAUUCUUUGAAGAUGAACCUCAAAUGUUUCAUCUCUCCCAUCCAUCAAUUCUCAACUCUUAUCAUACUAACUGCCAAAUCCCAGUCAGGUGUUUGCAUUGACCUUCCUUAUACCAGACCACAGACCUAGCACUGUCACUGUAGGUGUGGCCCAGGUGUGACUUUCCCAUUGGGGAUGCUCCUGUGACUCUGUCCCUACUUACUGCACACGUAGCAAACCGGUUUUGUUUGACCUACAGUCUACUUGGUGAUCUCUUCAGGAGUCAGCAGGCAACUCUCUCCUGGAGACCCACUCAGAAUCUGAGUUGGCAUGAUGAUUAUUUUCAGCUGAACAUAUUUGAGAUUGAACAGAUUCAGGGAAAACAAAGCAAUCAACCCAGCCUUCUGAGAAACAAGGCUCCACUGAAUUCUUCUUCAUAGCAGAUCUGUUCCCUUGAGGGAGAAACUGAAUGAGGCAGAUGAUUUCUCCAGGGAAGUUUCACAGCCCAAAAGAACAUGGAAGUUCUUCUGGGCCCUGUGUAGACAAUGCCAGUGUCACAGAUUGACCUCCCUCCCAUUUGUUCUCCUGAAAACCCACUUGUCUUUCCAAAAAGUUAUUUGUUUCCCCUUAAUGGCCUUUCUUCCCUUUCCUUCACCUAUUAGGAUGGUGUAGGAGUCUGAAAUUCUAGACCCCUUUAAGUUGUUUACCACAGAGUGUGCCUGCAGGUGUGUGCCUUACACACACAAAUAUUGGACUUUUCCCUUCUGUUUUUCUGCCUCGUUAGUUUAAUUCAUAAACUGGUGACUGAACAUAAAUGUCAAGGAAAAGGCUUUGUUUCUUCACCCAUAUUAUUCUAUUUUUACUCCCCAUACAGCUGAUUUUAUAAUUUUAUGAAUAUAUUUAAAUUUAUUUUUCAUGCUUAUGUCAAAAAACCUUAGUCUAAUUCUUUGUUGAAGAUGAAAAAUUAAGCAGUUUCUAUCUCCCCUUGAGCCUACCUCUUUUCUGGGUUUUGCUUAUUUAAGAUAUGGAAUCACAAUGAUGAAGAUGAUAAUGAUUUUACAUCACACUUGCUUUCUCAUUAGUUAUUUUUGACAUUUGCAGUAGGGUUUAUAAGAAUAUAAACAUCCACCAUGGAAAAGAGCAUCCUUUAUAUCAACCCCCAUUCUACCUCUGUAACGAUUCAUAUAGUCUAAGAUUUUUGAUCUGUAGAUCUAUUGUUCAUUUUUUCUUGUACUUUCUCAUUCAAAAAUUAUUUUUUAAGUCAGUGUACACUAUAAUUGAUUAUAACUAAGUUCUACUAUUAAAUUGUCUCUCUUGAUCAUCGUUUUUUUUUUUAUGCUAUAAUUUUCCUUCUCUGGAAUCCCUUGAUGCGUUCUUGUGAAUAACCAGAGAGUGUCUUUGAUUUUAUCCUCAAGAAAUGUGCCCACAUUUUCUUACCAGUAGAAUGACCUCAUAAGCUUAAAUUCAAAUCAGACGAAGGCCACGUGAGAUCUCACAGUUCAACUGGACAUCACUAUAAAGCUCUCUACCAGUGCUAUGAAUUUGAGAAUAUCUUAAAAAUGGGCUCAUCAAACUGACAACCUUUGUCCUUAGGCAGAACUGAUAUUUGUCUUUAAAAUCCCAUCAGAAUCACAAAUCCAAGUGACUGAUGGGGCUGGGGAAAGGACCCCCUGGGAGUGACUCUUGGAAUCUGAGGUUCAGCAGCUGCCUCCAGGUCCCUGUGACCUCCUUCCUCCUGGUCUUCCAGGCACAGGAAGGGGCCCCCCAGAGCCCUUAUGUGCCUACACACCAAAUGCCCCAAGAGGAGCACAGACGUCUUCAGUCUUCCUGCUGACAUUUCACUAACCAAGGAAGAUCACAGGCGUCACAGAGGAAGACACCGAAGUCAAAUACGACACCUAAAGCCCAGAGAAACUGUUCCAAGUUCUUCUGGUCCAUCCUUGUCAUCUAAAAAUUAUUUGUGACUCCUCUAGAAGCACCAACAGCAUACAACCCUCACGGUCCUCUCCCACGAAGAGGGCAUUCAGUGACUUCCUUCUGUGACAUUGCGAUGGCUCCUGUGCUUAGGUGGUGAUGGAGAACUCCUGGGGUUGGCUGAGGGAAACAUGAAUGCAGGACACGUGAAUUUGGUUUUUGUGGGAUAUACUCAUGGAUCAUGGUUGCUGACAUGUCCACUGAAGAUUUUGCUAACCAUCGUGGUGUAGGAGUUGCUCCCUGAGAGGUUCUCAGUGCCUCCUGGGGUGACUUUCCUGGCAUCAUGACCCAAAGAUGAGAGGACAGAACUGGUUUCAAAAGAGACGUGAUCCUGACCCUGCACAUAUGUGGGCUGUGGAAGGGAAGCAAGGCUGGAGUGUGCAGAGUUGGACACUAGCUACAGCCAACCCCAACACCAAAAACAAGCACAGCACCCCUGUGCCCAGCAUUGACUAUCAGCGCCAAUCUUCUUGGUAACAUAGCAUAAGUGACAAUAGAUGCACCACACAUCUCAUCCCUCUUUCAGUGGGAAUUGUGAGGACCAAUUUCAAAAUUCAUGACUUUUAUGAUUUUAGACUUAUUUCCUCAUUCUUUUUUUAAAAAUAUGUUUAAGUUGUUGAUGAACCUUUAUUUUAUUCAUUUCUUUAUAUGCUGUGCUGAGAAUCUAACCCAGUGCCUCCCAUGUGUGAGGCAAGUGCUCUACCACAGAGUCACAACCUCAGCCCCUAUUUCCUCAUUCUUAACAAAACAUUUGCUCUGUACUUAAUUCUAUAUUCUUUAUUUUGAAUGCCUUUUCUUUUUUAAAGAGGGCUCUGAUCAUUGUAAAAGCUCCAUGCAGAACCAGGAUCUAUCUCCAAUAGUGACCCAAACAGCAGAAGUCCCUGAGUUCACAGAACUUUGUGCAGUGGGAAAUUAUCUAUCCAUCAUCCUUGAAGAGUAAUAGUGACAUGUUUGAGCCCAGAUAUUUGCUGCAGGAUCUUUCUUUUUUUCUUUCCUCCUAAAUCUAUAGUCCUCAUUUCUAUUUAAUUCUGGAGUUGAAUAUUGCAGGAGACCAGCACCAUGAGGUACAGAGGGAGGUGGGGAGGGGCAUGGUAUAAAAAACUUUGUUUCAGUGGGAGAGUUCCACACUGUCCAUCACACUCCCUUCUUGGUUGUCAGAAUCUGCCUUCGUUCUUUGACUGUGAGCUGUGUUGCAAUUCAGCAAAUUGUAGGUAACGGAUAAACACACAAAGGGUGUCUUACUCUACAGAGGUUUAAAUUGCCUUCUUUGCAAUCUGUCUCCAUAUCAUUUACUAAAUGAUAAUAUUUAAUGAAAUAUUUAGCAUAUCUUCAUUUUGCUAUCUACCUGGGAGUCAGAAUUUUAUCUCUUACUGAAAAUUAUCUUUCAACGAUGGUCAGAGCUGUAUAAGCACCCUGUUUCCUCAAGGGAAGAUUGGAGUUAGCCUGCUUACUGUCUCCUUAUCUAUCAUUUGGUUUUCCUCUCUUGACAAUUAAUUGUUUUUGUUUUUCUUUAUCCUUGAAGAUAUGAAAUGUCAUCAGAGAUACAUGUUAUUAGUUUUUGGUCAUAUGGUGAACUGAAGAAUAUACCAGCCAGCCUCUAAGACAAAGCAAAAAAAAAAAAAAAAUCAUUCUGUUUACCUUAUUGUUUUUGAACUCUCUGGUUUACUGGAAUUUAUAAAUUUUAUUAAAUAUUUUUAAAAUGCAACAAACUAUUGACUUUUACAGUAAAAAAACAAUUGAACUACCUUAAAGUUAGACAGUGCCUAAGAGACAUUGAACAAGCCCACAUUCUUAUGCAUAAUUAUUUUACUUCAUGUUCAUCAGGCCUAUUUUGAUCUAUUCUAGUGGCAUUAUUAGUAUUAUUAUCUUGAAUUUCAAGGAUAAAUAAAAAUUCCGAUGUGUAA